ACCUCAUCCAGAGGGGCAGAGGGAACGGCCCGAUGAAGCCCCGGCAACCACCGCGCAUGUCUCGAUGACGAGGCCGCGUGCGGCAGGUGCUAAUUCCGUCCCCCGUGGCAGGUCGCCGCCGGGGAAAGAUGAGAG
rnacentral:ncRNA from 1 species